CCCUUAGAUGUUCUGGGCUGCACGCGCGCUACACUGAUGCGCUCAACGAGUUUACGACCUUGCCCGGAAGGGUUGGGUAAUCUUUUCAAAACGCAUCGUGAUGGGGAUAGAUUAUUGCAAUUAUUAAUCUUCAACGAGGAAUUCCUAGUAAGCGCGAGUCAUCAGCUCGUGCUGAUUACGUCCCUGCCCUUUGUACACACCGCCCGUCGCUCCUACCGAUUGAGUGCUCAGGUGAAUAAUUCGGACUGCAGCAAUGUUUGGAUCCCGAACGUUGCAGCGGAAAGUUUAGUGAACCUUAUCACUUAGAGGAAGGAGAAGUCGUAACA
rnacentral:rRNA from 1 species